CGCGAAUCGCCCUUCGGGGUGCACCAGGCGCGAAAACUUUACAAUGCCGGCAACGGCGAUAAGGGGACCUCGAGCGCCAGGUUACAAAUCUGGCUGUCGUGAUGCCUAAAAAGCAUUGCAUAGCAAGGGCCGGGCAAGACCGGUGCCAGCCGCCGCGGUAACACCGGCGGCUCGAGUGGUAACCGUUAUUAUUGGGUCUAAAGGGUCUGUAGCCGGCCGGAUAAGUCUCUUGGGAAAUCUGGCAGCUUAACUGUCAGGCUUUCAGGAGAUACUGUCUGGCUCGAGGCCGGGAGAGGUGAGAGGUACUUCAGGGGUAGGGGUGAAAUCUUGUAAUCCUUGAAGGACCACCAGUGGCGAAGGCGUCUCACCAGAACGGACCUGACGGCAAGGGACGAAAGCUAGGGGCACGAACCGGAUUAGAUACCCGGGUAGUCCUAGCCGUAAACGAUACUCGCUAGGUGUCGGCCACGGUGCGACCGUGGUCGGUGCCGUAGGGAAGCCGUGAAGCGAGCCACCUGGGAAGUACGGCCGCAAGGCUGAAACUUAAAGGAAUUGGCGGGGGAGCAC
rnacentral:rRNA from 1 species